CAGGACUGGAACUUUUGUCUACUCAAGACAUUACCUGAUGGACUGGAGGGGUGUGGAUUAUUGUGAUGUUUUUAUCAGCUGUAUGGACUCUCAUUCUGACGGCACCCAUUCACUGCAGAGCAUCCAUUGCUGAGCAAGUGAUGGAAAGCAUUUCUCCAAAUCUGAUGAAGAAACGCACUCAUCUACAUCUUGGAUGACCUGAGGGCAGAAGCACUCUGACAGACAGCAAAUAAUACAGAGCGGCCACAUUUGCUUUUCCCAGGACUGUGUGUGUCACUGUGUCAGGGGAAACCGUGACCCCAAUUUUCUUUGUAUGCAUUUGAAAGCGAGUUUUGUGUCAAUAUGAGUCUUUGCACCAAAACAUAUUUGACACUUGAGUCACACUUAAAAAUGUCUGUAUGUCAUUGCAUUAGUUCACAAAAAAAAUCAAAGCAAGUGUCAGUGGUUGUAAAAAAGGAUGCUUAAUAACACUUUAUACUUAAUUUGUAUGGUUUGGAUUGAUAACUAAUAAAUGUA